UUGUAAAGGGAGGAGAAAGACAGCAGCAAAGUCGAGGCGCCUCAGCAUACUCGGUCACAGGGUGGGUGCUUACAUUAAUUACAUACCUUAUUAUUUUGAUCUGAGGCCUCGAGGCUGAUAAGAGGAUCAUCUGGGAGGAAAUCGAUUGGAUUCAUUUGGAUUUGGGAUAAAUUACAUCAGCAUACAUUAGAUGGAGAGUGCGGGGGAAAUGGUGCCGCUGCCCGUGUUGAUCGAGUCCAAUUACAGAGCUUGCACUAUUCCAUACCGAUUCCCUUCCGACAAUCCCAAGAAGCCCACCCCUACUGAGCUCUCUUGGAUCGAUCUCUUCGCCCGCUCCAUCCCCUCUUUCCGCAAACGCGCUGAGGCUGACGAUACAGUUCCCGAUGCUUCCGCCAAGGCUGAAAAGUUUGCCCAGAGGUACACAGAGAUACUGGAGAAUUUGAAGAAAGACCCUGAGACUCACGGCGGCCCACCUGAUUGCAUUCUACUCUGCCAGCUUCGUGAGCAAGUGCUUCGAGAAGUAGGAUUCAGAGACAUAUUUAAGAAGGUCAAGGAUGAAGAGAAUGCCAAGGCAAUAUCAUUAUUUCAGGAUGUUGUGCAUCUUAAUGAUGCUAUCCAGGAUGAAUCCGAGCGUUUUGAGAAUUUGAUCAGAGGAAUCUUUGCUGGGAACAUAUUUGAUCUUGGCUCAGCUCAGCUUGCAGAGUUAUUUGCCAAGGAUGGUAUGUCCUUUCAAGCAAGUUGUCAAAAUCUUGUUUCUCGGCCAUGGGUGAUUGAUGAUUUGGACAUUUUCAUUUCAAAAUGGGGUCGAAGAUCAUGGAAAAAGGUCAUAAUCUUUGUAGAUAACUCUGGUGCUGAUGUCAUAUUGGGUAUAUUGCCAUUUGCAAGGGAGUUACUCCAGCAAGGCAUGCAGGUUGUAUUGGCUGCAAAUGACUUGCCUUCUAUCAAUGAUGUAACAUACCCUGAGUUGAUAGAAAUUAUAGCCAAGUUAAAGGAUGAGAAUGGGAAGCUUAUGGGAGUUGAAACCUCAAAUCUUUUUAUUGCAAAUUCUGGAAAUGAUUUACCUGUCAUUGAUCUUACAAGAGUGUCACAAGAACUUGCCUAUAUAGCAAGUGAUGCUGACCUUGUAGUUUUGGAAGGAAUGUUGACGUUUGAAAUUUGGGCCAGGGCCGGGGAAUAGAGACCAACCUUUAUGCUCAGUUCAAGUGUGAUGCCAUGAAAAUUGCAAUGGUGAAGCACCCUGAGGUGGCUCAGUUUCUUGGGGGACGACUAUAUGAUUGUGUCAUAAAGUUCAAUGAGUUUGUGCACUAACGAAUGGGCUGGUAUUGGCAUUCUAUUGUAGUUAAUUUGAGUUGUAAGGCCGGCAUUCUAUUCUCUCUCUCUCUCUCUCUCUCUCUCUGAAAUCUUUUCAGUCUUCUAUCCUUGGAUUUUUUGGUUAGUGUACAAGUUCUAGAUGGCGCCAUCCUAUUUAUGUUAUAUUCCUUCCAUUAACCACUGGGAUAACUUCAGAAACUCUGCUUGCUUUAUUUGGAAUUUGGCAGUUUAUGCCGGCUCUUAAUCUUUAGAUGGCUAAAAUUCCAAUUAUAGUAAUAAGUGCUGAAGAUAUCACCAAGGAAUGAGCUGUAUACACAUUCAAAAGUGGCGGAAGCAUUGUGAAUCAUUUA